AAAAAAGCAGUUUUUCUAUAAAAAAAAAAAAAACACUUUAAUAAUCUAGCAAAAAUGUGAAGCAUUAAAAUCAUAGCAUUUACAGUAAGGUGUUUGCUCUAUAUUUUGGUGAUUCUAAAAAUAAAAAGUUUAGAGAAAACCUGUAGUUCAAAAACUUUUUAUUCUCAAGAUCUUUUGAAAAACAACUGCUUUACACUAGUGUGCUGAUCUGAAGAACCUACAGAAUUGUGUAACAGAAUGAAACAACAUCUUGAUAAGGAGACAGUUCUUUGUUGAUUGGUUUGUGAUGCUUAAAGUAUAAUGUUGUGCGUCACCUCUCAGUCUUUUUGAUCACAUGAAUGUAAGACUGCAGAAAUGACACUUCAUAUGUGCCAUCACCUCUGAUGAAACCCUCUUUACUAAUGAAAAGAAAAACACUGGGGUCUAAUUGUUGCUCUAAAAAUAACGUCAGUAGUCCAGAAUUGUGUCACAGGACUGUGCGUCAGUGUGAUUUUCCAGCUGUCAGUGUGUAUGGAAAGCUCAUGAUUGUCUGCCGUUGUCACCUGAGGUUUGACAUACGUGUUAAACCUGCACGUCUGGUUCUGUUCACAUGAUGACCUUUCAGCUUCUUAUAAAUCACAGCACUGAACAGAGACAAAGACACGCAAGAGGAAUACACAAAGAAACGGUCAUGUUGUACAUUGUGGGGAUUGCUUUGGGGCUAAUUGUCAUCAUCCAGUGCAUGUCACAUGGUCUGAGUCAGAUACAUGCCAAAGUUGGGAAUGCCUUCCAAGAAAAAAAUAUACUUUACAUAAACAAGUGGAGAAUGAAUGAUCAGGAACUUCACCUCAUCAUUAGACUCCUCUCUGUUGGGCUGGUGGAUGCAGAUCCAAACACUCUGCACCAUAUAAAAGAAUACAGAGAUCUGAGAGGAAGUUCAACCUGA
ensembl:lncRNA